GAGGCAAGAGAAUCACUUGAACCCAGGAGGUGGAGAUUGUAGUGAGGCAAGGUCAUGACAUUGCACUCCAGCCUGGGCAACAGAGCAAGACUCCAUCUCAAAACAAAUAAA